UCGUUCUUGUGUUAUUUGCUGAACUAGUCUCAUCGUUCAGUGAUUGUCAAAAAGAACGCAUAGUGACUUCCAAACCAGUUUAUCACUCCACAUUGUUGAGCCUAUUAUUGCCAAGGCUGCUACAAUACUUACCCGCUGGUUACAUAU